AUGAUAAUUGGGACCAGAAUUUCCAUUGCUAACUGAUGAGAUCAUAAAGCACAAUGUCACAUGACCACAUCACUUAGCAAUAGCAAUCACAGCAGUCCCAAUUGGCUUCAUAACCCAGUGAAUGUGCAGGUCAUUAAGAGAAGACUUCAUGUGACUGGAAUUCUAGACAAUAAUGCCAGUAGGCAAGAGCUUUGGCUGAAUGAGUGGACACUACUGAGGGCAGGCAGGCAGGCUGAUGAGGGCCACUUCAGAGUGGACUGAGCUUCCCCAUUAUCUUUGAACAGGACAGGAAAAAGUCGGUGAAUGAAGUGAACUGAGUGGUUGCAGAGAAUGAAUUGACUAGAAGAGAAGUGAAGAGUGAAGAGAAGAUGUCAGUCCCUGUUUGGAAAAGAAAAAAGAAAGGUCCAGGGAUGAUCUUCUUGGAAGAAAGAGAAAUAGAUUCUGAGGCUUAUGAUGCGGUAAUAUUAUUUGUCAGAGGCAAGACCUAAGUAAAAGCCCAGUGACUGAAUAAAGCUUCUUCCUUAAUGCAA